rnacentral:rRNA from 1 species
ACCAACGUCCAUACUAUGUUGAAAAUACCAGUUCUCGUUCGAUCACCAAAGUCAAGCAACAUAGGGCGUGUUUAGUACUUGGAUGGGUGACCGUCUUGUACUUGGAUUGUCAGUA